AUUGAACGCUGGCGGCAGGCCUAACACAUGCAAGUCGAACGCGUGGCGGACGGGUGAGUAACGUCUGGGACACUGCUUGAUGGCGGGGGAUAACUACGGGAAACGGUAGCUAAUACGGCAUACCAUCGGAUGUGCCCAGAUGGGAUUAGCUAGUAGGUGGGGUAAAGGCUAACCUAGGCGACGAUCCCUAGCUGGUCUGAGAGGAUGACCAGCCAAACUGGAACUGAGACACGGUCCAGACUCCUACGGGAGGCAGCAGUGGGGAAUAUUGCACAAUGGGCGCAAGCCUGAUGCAGCAAUGCCGCGUGUAUGAAGAAGGCCUUCGGGUUGUAAAGUACUUUCAGCGGGGAGGCGUUACCCGCAGAAGAAGCACCGGCUAACUCCGUGCCAGCAGCCGCGGUAAUAC
rnacentral:rRNA from 1 species